rnacentral:rRNA from 1 species
UCGCCUGUUUUUACAAAAACAUUUCUUAUAGAUCUUAUUAUAAGUAAAGCCUGCUCAAUGAAUUUAUUCAAUAGCCGCAAUUUUCUUGUGCUAAGGUAGCAUAAUCAUUUGUUUUUUAAUUUGAAACUAGAAUGAAAGGUUUAACAUUUAAAUUUCUAUAUUUUUAAUAUAUUUAUAAAAUUAUAUUAAAUAUAAAAAUAUAUUUAUAAAAAAAUCAGACGACAAGACCCUAUUGAACUUAACUUAUGUUAAGCUGGGGCAGCUUUUAAAUUAAAACUUUCAUUAAUAUUUUUAUAAAUUAUCCAAUAAAAUUGAAAUUUAUCAAGUUACCAUAGGGAUAACAGCGUAAUUUUUAUUUAAAGUUCUUAUUUAAAUAUAAGUUUGCGACCUCGAUGUUGAAUUAAAUUUUCUCUAUUUCGCAAUAGAAAUAAAAGUAGGUCUGUUCGACCUUUAAAAAUUUACAUGAUUUGAGUUCAAACCGGUGCGAGCCAGGUUGGUUUCUAUCUUUUUUAAUUAUUUUCCAGUACGAAAGGACAAAAAAUAAUAUUUUAAAUAAUUUAUUGGCAGAAAAUUGCAUUAGAAUUAGAAUCUAAUCAU